rnacentral:rRNA from 1 species
UACAUGUGGGGCAAGCGUUAAUCGGAAUUACUGGGCGUAAAGCGUGCGCAGGCGGUUAUGCAAGACAGAUGUGAAAUCCCCGGGCUCAACCUGGGAACUGCAUUUGUGACUGCAUAGCUAGAGUGCGGCAGAGGGAGAUGGAAUUCCGCGUGUAGCAGUGAAAUGCGUAGAUAUCCGAAGGAACAUCAGUGGCGAAAGCGGCUUCCUGGACCAGAACUGACGAUCAGGCACGAAAGCAUGGGGAGCAAACAGG